CCGUGAUACAGCGCUGAUGCUUCAUGCCUCCUCCUCUGACAAAGUAACCAAACCCCACCUCCUGUUCAGGGGACAAGGAAAAGCCCAGGACUUGCAGAUGGCAAGUUGUCAUACGCAGUGACGUAGUGAGGCAAGUUGUUCCUGGCUCCCGUCUGAAAACUCUGUCCUCCCAGGCCUUCCUGUCAUGUCCCAGUCGCCCUUCUGCCGGCCUCACCUCCUGGUCACAGGCUUGGACUCGUGUGGUCUUCAGAGGAAAGCAUCUGCAUACACCCAGAUGCUGACUCUUGAAGCAUCCAAAGGGGAGAAAAGAACAGAGACAAAGAAAAAGAAAGGAGAGAGAUGCAGGCCAAGAACAGAGUAUGAGAUUAAAUAUCAGCAACUAUACAAAGCCUUCUGGAACUUAAAAUGGAGGGAAAAGAAGUCAAGGACCAAACCACAUUCCGUGCAGUAGUGACGAGAACACUUGUGGACCUCCACCUCUAAAAGUGCAAUUACCAGAGAAAAGAAGCCACAUCUCCAAUGAAAGGCAUAAAAUGAGAUGGAAGAAAUUCUCAGAUAAAGCCCAAUAAUUAAGAUUAUCCUUAACAACCACUGUCCUAGUUGCUAACUAGCUUUUUAAAGUCACCUUUGUGACCUCAUCUUGUGCCUAGCACAAAGCAAGCACUCAAUAAAUGGUUGAUGCAAGAGUUAUAUGUAAAUAAAUCUUUAGUUCUAUUAAAUUUUGUUCUAGUGAAUCUUUGGUUAUCCAGAC
rnacentral:lncRNA from 1 species